rnacentral:rRNA from 1 species
UACGUAGGGGGCUAGCGUUGUCCGGAAUCAUUGGGCGUAAAGCGCGUGUAGGCGGUUCGGUAAGUCCGCUGUGAAAGUCGGGGGCUCAACCCUCGAAAGCCGGUGGAUACUGUCGGACUAGAGUGCGGAAGAGGCGAGUGGAAUUCCUGGUGUAGCGGUGAAAUGCGCAGAUAUCAGGAGGAACACCGGUGGCGAAGGCGGAUCUCUGGGCCAUUACUGACGCUGAGGAGCGAAAGCGUGGGGAGCGAACAGG